rnacentral:lncRNA from 1 species
GAGAUGCAUGCUUGAUGAAUGGGGUUCAGCAGAAACGGCAAUCAUUAUCGGCUGCAUUUAUAGUCAUGUGAUGACUGAUGCAGCUGGUUAUAUCUUUUAAGAGCUUUGUAAAUCAGCCAAAUCAAUAGAAAAAAAAAAGAAAAGAAAAAGAAGAAAGAGCAUAUAUCAAUUUCCCAAACAAAAGGCGUAGAAUGAUGCUACGAUGAGCAAUAAUUUGUCUUAAAACUUAGCAUCUUUCCUUAUUUGGUUAGAAAUAUGACAUUCCCGACAGGUGGGAUAACCAGGC